GACGUAGGGCGCGAGCGUUGUCCGGAAUCAUUGGGCGUAAAGCGCGUGUAGGCGGCUUGGUAAGUCCGCUCUGAAAGCCCGGGGCUCAACCCCGGGAGGCGGGUGGAUACUGUCAAGCUCGAGUCCGGAAGAGGCGAGUGGAAUUCCUGGUGUAGCGGUGAAAUGCGCAGAUAUCAGGAGGAACACCAAUGGCGAAGGCAGCUCGCUGGGACGUGACUGACGCUGAGACGCGAAAGCGUGGGGAGCAAACAGG
rnacentral:rRNA from 1 species